rnacentral:sRNA from 1 species
GAACCUGCAGCAGGUUCGGGUCGAACGCAGUGAGACAACGGAGCCGCUUGCGGCGACGGCCCGAAGGGCGAGGCGAAGCCGAGUCAUCCUGCACGACCCACCA